UGGGGAAUAUUGGGCAAUGGGCGAAAGCCUGACCCAGCAAUGCCGUGUGAGCGAUGAAGUUCUUCGGAAUGUAAAGCUCUUUUAUGAGGAAAGAAAGCUUAUGGGGUAAUAUCUCAUCUGCUUGACGGUACCUCAUGAAUAAGCCCCGGCUAACUCCGUGCCAGCAGCCGCGGUAAUACGGAGGGGGCGAGCGUUGUUCGGAAUCACUGGGCGUAAAGGGCGCGUAGGCGGUCAUGUAUGUCAGGUGUGAAAUCCCUAGGCUUAACUUAGGAAUUGCGCUUGAAACUGCAUGGCUAGAGGCUGGGAGAGGAAAGUGGAAUUCCUGGUGUAGCGGUGAAAUGCGUAGAUAUCAGGAGGAACACCGGUGGCGAAAGCGGCUUUCUGGACCAGUUCUGACGCUGAGGCGCGAAAGCGUGGGGAGCAAACGGG
rnacentral:rRNA from 1 species